rnacentral:rRNA from 1 species
UACAGAGGGUGCGAGCGUUAAUCGGAAUUACUGGGCGUAAAGCGUGCGUAGACGGUUAUUUAAGUCGGGGGUGAAAGCCCCGGGCUCAACCUGGGAAUUGCAUUCGAGACUGAAUAGCUAGGGUACGGUAGAGGGAAGCGGAAUUUCCGGUGUAGCGGUGAAAUGCGUAGAUAUCGGAAGGAACAUCAGUGGCGAAAGCGGCUUCCUGGACCAGUACCGACGUUCAGGCACGAAAGCGUGGGGAGCAAACAGG